UCUGCAAUAGGCAAAUAAAA
rnacentral:snRNA from 1 species